rnacentral:rRNA from 1 species
GACGAACGCUGGCGGCGUGCUUAACACAUGCAAGUCGAGCGGAAAGGCCCUUCGGGGUACUCGAGCGGCGCACGGGUGAGUAACACGUGAGUAACCUGCCCUAGGCUUUGGGAUAACCCCGGGAAACCGGGGCUAAUACCGGAUAUGACCUGGUGCCGCAUGGUGUUGGGUGGAAAGUUUUUUCGGCCUGGGAUGGGCUCGCGGCCUAUCAGCUUGUUGGUGGGGUGAUGGCCUACCAAGGCGAUGACGGGUAGCCGGCCUGAGAGGGCGACCGGCCACACUGGGACUGAGACACGGCCCAGACUCCUACGGGAGGCAGCAGUGGGGAAUAUUGCACAAUGGGCGGAAGCCUGAUGCAGCGACGCCGUGUGAGGGAUGAAGGCCCUCGGGUUGUAAACCUCUUUCAGCAGGGACGAAGCGUGAGUGACGGUACCUGCAGAAGAAGCGCCGGCCAACUACGUG